rfam:Folsomia candida strain VT population Fcan01_Sc013, whole genome shotgun sequence.
GAGCCCGUAGCUCAGAUGGUAGAGCGCUCGCUUAGCAUAUGAGAGGUACAGAGAUCGAUACUCUGCCGGUCCA